UGGAACAAUCCCCUACAAUCCUUAGAAGCUUUAACAUGUCUUAUCGUCAAACUUGUUUCGACUUGAAAUUGCAUGUCAGUACAUGCUUUGCGAAUAUUUCGACUUGCUUAUUCAAACGACUGUUAACCAUUACGAUAAAACUAAUUCAAGACUAUAGAACGGUGUGCUACAUCAUUAAUCAAUUAAAUGGAUGCCAGUAAGUGUGAAAAGUCAGAAUUAAUGGAGGUUAUGGAUAGUGAAGACCCGAAUGCGAAUUGUGAAACUGAAUCACCAUCUGUAAGUGAAGACUCUGAGUCUUGUUAUGAACAUCUUAAACCAACUGGUGUGCAAAUUGGUACUGAUGAUUUUUCAGGAGAAUUCAACUUUGAUUUUUUUUUGGAUCCAACAGAAGUUACAAAAAGGCAUUGGAUGUAUUCUGAAAAAUUAAAUAAAAUAUUUUUGGAUAUGAAUAGAGUUGUACCGAUCCAGUUCCAUUGGAAUUUUUAUGAAACUGAGUUGUUAGGAAUGAAAAAUCUUCAAAUACGUGCUUUACUUAUUUUUGCAACUCCUGAAUUUGAACAAUUGUCCAUCAAACGAUGUCCUAUACACAUUAUACAAGAUAAAUUUUGUGAUAAAAAAAAAAUUGAACAUAUUUUAUGGUGUGAACAAUAUGACAGUAUUUAUGAAGAAGAUCCCAAAAGUCAAAGAUACAGUGUUGUUGUUCAAAUGCACGAUUGUUUUCCCUAUUCAGAAUAUAAGACUUAUAAUAUUAUGUAUAAAUUUAUGUGCAAGUCAAGUUGUUCUAUGAGUCUCAACCGAAGACCAAUUAAUGUUAUCUUUACUCUUGAAACAUCGCAAGGACAAGUAUUGGGAAGAAAAAAAAUUGGUGUAAAGAUAUGCAGUUGUCCAAAAAGGGACAGUAUGAAGGAAGAAGCAUUAGAAAAAAAAAAAACAAUAAAUUCAAUAAAAAUGUUUAAAAAACGUACUUCACAAAUUAGUAAUAAUGAUACUCCAAAGAAAAUGCCCAAAACCAACAAUGAUAAUGAAGAAAAUAAAAGUUAUGAGCUUCCUUUAUUAGCUAUUCCAACUAAAAAGUUAUAUAUUAGUACAUUGGAACUGUUACAUGGGCAUUUUUUGGGAAAUGCAGUCCGUGAAAAUAUGUUAAUUGACUCACAUCCUUUGAUUAGUAUGCUUGCUGAUUUAAUAUCUCAAGUAAAGUCUGAAAGUAAUAAUUAUCUGGUUGUGUAAAAUCUACAAAUACAUUGCAAGUCAUAUUGGGUCGACAACAAGAUAAAGGAGCCACUGAUAUAAAUAAUUUAUUAUUGUUUUAGAAAAUGAUGAUAAAACCAUCGGUGAUACCCAAGCUGUUUGGAACCAAUCAUUACUUUGGGAAACACCACAGCAGUAAUAAUGUUGUUGAAAUUGAUUCCAAAAUAUUCUCCAUACGGUAUUUGUUGAAUAUUUGCCAAGACCAGCAUGUAAGAAAUUUUUUACUUCUGAGGAAACGUCUUUUAGAGUAUUUUGUAAAGUGUUGCAGUAAUAAAUGAGAACUAUUGUUUCUAUUGCAGUUAUCACCAUAAAUGAUUUUAGCUUCAGAUUUCUUUUUGUUGAUGUAAUACUUCUAAGACAAGUCAUUUAUCUUUGUAUUAUAUUUAUUUCAAAUUAAUUUGUUAAUAAAUACAAGAAUAUUUUUGAAUUUUAA
rnacentral:misc_RNA from 1 species